rnacentral:rRNA from 1 species
CAAUAGCGUAUAUUAAAGUUGUUGCAGUUAAAAAGCUCGUAGUUGGAUUUGUGGCGUACGGUGUGUUCCGGGCACUUGUUGUCUGAGUAACCUGCUGUUGCCAUCCUUGGGUGGAACCUGUGUGGCAUUAGGUUGUCGUGCAGGGGAUGCCCAUCAUUUACUGUGAAAAAAUUAGAGUGUUCAAAGCAGGCUUAUGCCGUUGAAUAUAUUGGCAUGGAAUAAUGAGAUAGGACUUUUUUGCUAUUUUGUUGGUUUGCGCAAAGAGGUAAUGAUUAAUAGGGACAGUUGGGGAUAUUCGUAUUCCAUUGUCAGAGGUGAAAUUCUUGGAUUUUUGGAAGACGAACUACUGCGAAAGCAUUUGCCAAGAGUGUUUUCAUUAA